GUGCUUGCUUUCGCAGCAUAAAUAUUAAAACAGGAACGAUACAGAGAAAAUUAGCAUGGCCCCUGCAUAAGGAUGACAUGCAAAUUCGUGAAGCAUUCCAUUUUUUA
rnacentral:snRNA from 1 species